rnacentral:rRNA from 1 species
UACAGAGGGUGCGAGCGUUAAUCGGAAUUAUUGGGCGUAAAGGGCGUGUAGGUGGUUUUAUAAGUUUGAUGUGAAAGCCCCGGGCUUAACCUGGGAAUUGCGUUGAAGACUGUGAGACUCGAGUGGGAGAGAGGGUAGUGGAAUUUCCGGUGUAGCGGUGAAAUGCGUAGAGAUCGGAAAGAACAUCCGUGGCGAAGGCGGCUACCUGGUUCCCAACUGACACUGAGGCGCGAAAGCGUGGGGAGCGAACAGG